GUGUACACAAGACGCCAUUUUGGAUUAUCUACAUGAGAUUUGAACUGCGUGCCUCUGUUUGAAACUCCAAGGUACUUACAAGAAAGGAUAAUUGGAUAAUUUGGAUAUUUUCGACGAGGAUCCGACCGUGUGAAUGUCUUGAGAAGAGAAAGGGGGUAACUUUAGCCUAAUUUAGCAAGCUAACGAUAGCUGGAGGACUCAUUUUCACAUCACACACAGAUGUCUGCGACCACUGCUAAUCUUGAAAAGAUGGGUAACCUGCCUGUGACUCCUCAUUUGAUUCUGCCUAGUUCAGAUGAUACUUUGGGCCAGUGGAUAAAACAAUGGAUGAUCAGCAUGGAUGGCAGAGUAAUCUGUGAGGGUGAGCAUGCACACUGGAAUUCCUUCAAAGAUGCUUUGCUGGCAUAAAUCCAGAGAGGGGAACCAAGGCUGUGAGAGGAAAUGUGAUGUCAAAAAAAACUGGCAAGACAGUUCAGAAGAAGACCAUGACUGAAAACCCCAAGGUUUCAAACCUUUUAAAGACACUAAUGGACUUUGAAUGGGACUUUAUUUAAAAUGCAGCUAACUUGCACCCCCCUACUUUUGCAACACAGAGGGCUUUUUUCUUUAUUAGCAGAAGCUCAUUUUGGGGCUAUAAAUUUUUAUAUUUUAUAUCCAAGACUAAAUUGUAAAGUGGCUAUUUAUUAAUUUUUUAUAUGACAUUCGGUAAGUUGCUUCUUGUUGUACAAUGCUGAAUACAAUAUUAACAUUUCUGGAGAACUUACAAUUUUUGCCUGUUCUUUGGCUUAAUAUUUUCACAAACACAAUGCAGAUUUUAUUUUGUGUUGUUUGAAAAUAAAAAUGUGAAAU
ensembl:processed_transcript